rnacentral:rRNA from 1 species
AACUGGUGAGUAACACGUGGGAAACCUGCCCAGAAGCGGGGGAUAACACCUGGAAACAGAUGCUAAUACCGCAUAACAACUUGGACCGCAUGGUCCGAGUUUGAAAGAUGGCUUCGGCUAUCACUUUUGGAUGGUCCCGCGGCGUAUUAGCUAGAUGGUGRGGYAACGGCUCACCAUGGCAAUGAUACGUAGCCGACCUGAGAGGGUAAUCGGCCACAUUGGGACUGAGACACGGCCCAAACUMMUACGGGAGGCAGCAGUAGGGAAUYUUCCACAAUGGACGAAAGUCUGAUGGAGCAACGCCGCGUGAGUGAAGAAGGGUUUCGGCUCGUAAAACUCUGUUGUURAAGAAGAACAUAUCUGAGAGUAACUGUUCAGGUAUUGACGGUAUUUAACCAGAAAGCCACGGCUAACUACGUGCCAGCAGCCGCGGUAAUACGUAGGUGGCAAGCGUUGUCCGGAUUUAUUGGGCGUAAAGCGAGCGCAGGCGGUUUUUUAAGUCUGAUGUGAAAGCCUUCGGCUCAACCGAAGAAGUGCAUCGGAAACUGGGAAACUUGAGUGCAGAAGAGGACAGUGGAACUCCAUGUGUAGCGGUGAAAUGCGUAGAUAUAUGGAAGAACACCAGUGGCGAAGGCGGCUGUCUGGUCUGUAACUGACGCUGAGGCUCGAAAGUAUGGGUAGCAAACAGGAUUAGAUACCCUGG